rnacentral:rRNA from 1 species
UCGAGCGAGCUUGCCAUAGAAGUUCUUCGGAAUGGAAAUAGAUACAAGCUAGCGGCGGAUGGGUGAGUAACGCGUGGGUAACCUGCCCUUAAGUCUGGGAUACCAUUUGGAAACAGAUGCUAAUACCAGAUAAAAGCUACUUUCGCAUGAAAGAAGUUUAAAAGGCGGCGUAAGCUGUCGCUAAAGGAUGGACCUGCGAUGCAUUAGCUAGUUGGUAAGGUAACGGCUUACCAAGGCGAUGAUGCAUAGCCGAGUUGAGAGACUGAUCGGCACAUUGGGACUGAGACACGGCCCAAACUCCUACGGGAGGCAGCAGUAGGGAAUCUUCCACAAUGGACGAAAGUCUGAUGGAGCAACGCCGCGUGAGUGAAGAAGGUUUUCGGAUCGUAAAGCUCUGUUGUUGGUGAAGAAGGAUAGAGGUAGUAACUGGCCUUUAUUUGACGGUAAUCAACCAGAAAGUCACGGCUAACUACGUGCCAGCAGCCGCGGUAAUACGUAGGUGGCAAGCGUUGUCCGGAUUUAUUGGGCGUAAAGCGAGCGCAGGCGGAUUGAUAAGUCUGAUGUGAAAGCCUUCGGCUCAACCGAAGAACUGCAUCAGAAACUGUCAAUCUUGAGUGCAGAAGAGGAGAGUGGAACUCCAUGUGUAGCGGUGGAAUGCGUAGAUAUAUGGAAGAACACCAGUGGCGAAGGCGGCUCUCUGGUCUGUAACUGACGCUGAGGCUCGAAAGCAUGGGUAGCGAACAGGAUUAGAUACCCUGGUAGUCCAUGCCGUAAACGAUGAGUGCUAAGUGUUGGGAGGUUUCCGCCUCUCAGUGCUGCAGCUAACGCAUUAAGCACUCCGC